AAUUCGCUAGAGAUAGCUUAGUGCCUUCGGGAACUCUGAGACAGGUGCUGCAUGGCUGUCGUCAGCUCGUGUUGUGAAAUGUUGGGUUAAGUCCCGCAACGAGCGCAACCCUUAUCCUUGUUUGCCAGCACGUAAUGGUGGGAACUCCAGGGAGACUGCCGGUGAUAAACCGGAGGAAGGUGGGGACGACGUCAAGUCAUCAUGGCCCUUACGAGUAGGGCUACACACGUGCUACAAUGGCGCAUACAGAGGGCUGCAAGCUAGCGAUAGUGAGCGAAUCCCAAAAAGUGCGUCGUAGUCCGGAUUGGAGUCUGCAACUCGACUCCAUGAAGUCGGAAUCGCUAGUAAUCGUAGAUCAGAAUGCUACGGUGAAUACGUUCCCGGGCCUUGUACACACCGCCCGUCACACCAUGGGAGUGGGCUGCAAAAGAAGUGGGUAGUUUAACCUUCGGGAGGACGCUCACCACUUUGUGGUUCAUGACUGGGGUGAAGUCGUAACAAGGUAGCCCUAGGGGAACCUGGGGCUGGAUCACCUCCUUA
rnacentral:rRNA from 1 species